GACGAACGCUGGCGGCGUGCUUAACACAUGCAAGUCGAACGGAAAGGCCCUGCUUUUGUGGGGUGCUCGAGUGGCGAACGGGUGAGUAACACGUGAGUAACCUGCCCUUGACUUUGGGAUAACUUCAGGAAACUGGGGCUAAUACCGGAUAGGAGCUCCUGCUGCAUGGUGGGGGUUGGAAAGUUUCGGCGGUUGGGGAUGGACUCGCGGCUUAUCAGCUUGUUGGUGGGGUAGUGGCUUACCAAGGCUUUGACGGGUAGCCGGCCUGAGAGGGUGACCGGCCACAUUGGGACUGAGAUACGGCCCAGACUCCUACGGGAGGCAGCAGUGGGGAAUAUUGCACAAUGGGCGGAAGCCUGAUGCAGCAACGCCGCGUGCGGGAUGACGGCCUUCGGGUUGUAAACCGCUUUCGCCUGUGACGAAGCGUGAGUGACGGUAAUGGGUAAAGAAGCACCGGCUAACUACGUGCCAGCAGCCGCGGUGAUACGUAGGGUGCGAGAGUUGUCCGGAUUUAUUGGGCGUAAAGGGCUCGUAGGUGGUUGAUCGCGUCGGAAGUGUAAUCUUGGGGCUUAACCCUGAGCGUGCUUUCGAUACGGGUUGACUUGAGGAAGGUAGGGGAGAAUGGAAUUCCUGGUGGAGCGGUGGAAUGCGCAGAUAUCAGGAGGAACACCAGUGGCGAAGGCGGUUCUCUGGGCCUUUCCUGACGCUGAGGAGCGAAAGCGUGGGGAGCGAACAGGCUUAGAUACCCUGGUAGUCCACGCUGUAAACGGUGGGUACUAGGUGUGGGGUCCAUUCCACGGGUUCCGUGCCGUAGCUAACGCUUUAAGUACCCCGCCUGGGGAGUACGGCCGCAAGGCUAAAACUCAAAGGAAUUGACGGGGCCCCGCACAAGCGGCGGAGCAUGCGGAUUAAUUCGAUGCAACGCGUAGAACCUUACCUGGGUUUGACAUGGAUCGGGAGUGCUCAGAGAUGGGUGUGCCUCUUUUGGGGUCGGUUCACAGGUGGUGCAUGGCUGUCGUCAGCUCGUGUCGUGAGAUGUUGGGUUAAGUCCCGCAACGAGCGCAACCCUUGUUCACUGUUGCCAGCACGUUAUGGUGGGGACUCAGUGGAGACCGCCGGGGUCAACUCGGAGGAAGGUGGGGAUGACGUCAAGUCAUCAUGCCCCUUAUGUCCAGGGCUUCACGCAUGCUACAAUGGCUGGUACAGAGAGUGGCGAGCCUGUGAGGGUGAGCGAAUCUCGGAAAGCCGGUCUCAGUUCGGAUUGGGGUCUGCAACUCGACCUCAUGAAGUCGGAGUCGCUAGUAAUCGCAGAUCAGCAACGCUGCGGUGAAUACGUUCCCGGGGCU
rnacentral:rRNA from 1 species